GCAAGUCUGGUGCCAGCAGCCGCGGUAAUUCCAGCUCCAAUAGCGUAUAUUAAAGUUGUUGCAGUUAAAAAGCUCGUAGUUGAAACUUGGGCCUGGCUGGCAGGUCCGCCUCACCGCGUGUACUUGUCCGGCCGGGCCUUUCCUUCUGGAGAACCUCAUGCCCUUCACUGGGUGUGUUGGGGAACCAGGACUUUUAC
rnacentral:rRNA from 1 species